rnacentral:rRNA from 1 species
GACGAACGCUGGCGGCGUGCCUAAUACAUGCAAGUCGAGCGAACCAAUAAGAAGCUUGCUUUUUGUUGGUUAGCGGCGGACGGGUGAGUAACACGUGGGUAACCUGCCUGUAAGACCGGGAUAACUCCGGGAAACCGGUGCUAAUACCGGAUAGAUUAUCUUUCCGCAUGGAGAGAUAAGGAAAGAUGGCUAUUGCCAUCACUUACAGAUGGGCCCGCGGCGCAUUAGCUAGUUGGUGAGGGAACGGCUCACCAAGGCGACGAUGCGUAGCCGACCUGAGAGGGUGAUCGGCCACACUGGGACUGAGACACGGCCCAGACUCCUACGGGAGGCAGCAGUAGGGAAUCUUCCGCAAUGGACGAAAGUCUGACGGAGCAACGCCGCGUGAGCGAAGAAGGUCUUCGGAUCGUAAAGCUCUGUUGUUAGGGAAGAACAAGUAUCGGAGGAAAUGCCGGUACCUUGACGGUACCUGACGAGAAAGCCACGGCUAACUACGUG